UACGUAGGGUGCAAGCGUUAAUCGGAAUUACUGGGCGUAAAGCGUGCGCAGGCGGUUCGGAAAGAAAGAUGUGAAAUCCCAGGGCUUAACCUUGGAACUGCAUUUUUAACUGCCGGGCUAGAGUAUGUCAGAGGGGGGUAGAAUUCCACGUGUAGCAGUGAAAUGCGUAGAGAUGUGGAGGAAUACCGAUGGCGAAGGCAGCCCCCUGGGAUAAUACUGACGCUCAUGCACGAAAGCGUGGGGAGCAAACAGGAUUAGAUACCCUGGUA
rnacentral:rRNA from 1 species